AGCGUAUAUUAAAGUUGUUGCAGUUAAAACGUUCGUAGUUGAAUUUGUGUUCCACACGGGCAGUACACCUAAAUCUUGGGUUUGUACAUUGCCUUAAAAUUAAAAAUGUGUGUGAACGUAUUACCGGCUGAAUUUAUAUUUUUAAUAUGAAUUCACAUAUUAUAUGUCCUACUUCAGUGCUCUUAAUCGAGUGCUGUUGUGGGCCGGUACAAUUACUUUGAACAAAUUAGAGUGCUUAAAGCAGGCUUUUAAUGCCUGAAUAUUUGUGCAUGGAAUAAUGGAAGAGGACAUCUGUUCUAUUUUCUAUUGGUUUUUAGAUCAAGAUGUAAUGAUUAAUAGAAGCAGUUGGGGGCAUUAGUAUUACGACGCGAGAGGUGAAAUUCUUGGACCGUCGUAAGACUGACUAAAGCGAAAGCAUUUGCCAAAUAUGUUUUCAUUAAUCAAGAACGAAAGUUAGAGGUUCGAAGGCGAUCAGAUACCGCCCUAGUUCUAACCAUAAACGAUGUCAGCUAGCAAUUGAAUGUAGCUACUACUAUGGCUCUUUCAGACGCUUCUCGGGAAACCGAAGCUUUUGGGCUCCGGGGGAAGUAUGGUUGCAAAGCUGAAACUUUUGACGGAAGGGCACCACCAGGAGUGGAGCCUGCGGCUUAAUUUGACUCAACACGGGAAAACUUACCAGGUCCGAACAUAAAUAAGUAAGACAGAUUGAUAGCUCUUUCUCGAAUCUAUGGGUGGUGGUGCAUGGCCGUUCUUAGUUCGUGGAGUGAUUUGUCUGGUUAAUUCCGAUAACGAACGAGACUCAAAUAUAUUAAAUAGAUGCAUUCAGGAUUAUGGUGUUGAAGCUUAUAUGCUCGCCUGUUUUCGUUCCUCACGGUGCGUUUGCAGUUGUGUAUGUAUGUAAGUGGAGCCAUACCUGUUUGUUUGUCUAAUUAAAAAUAGACACUAGCUUCUUAAAUGGACAAAUUG
rnacentral:rRNA from 1 species